rnacentral:rRNA from 1 species
GCCUGGCCCUAAAUCUUGAUGCUCGAUCUUACCGGAGCAUCCGCCCGAGAACUACGAGCACAAACGCUUAAAACUCUAAGGACUUGGCGGUGCCCCAAACCCACCUAGAGGAGCCUGUUCUGUAAUCGAUGAUCCACGAUACACCUAACCAUUCCUUGCUAGAACAGCCUAUAUACCGCCGUCGCCAGUUCACCCGGCAUGAAGGCCCAACAGUGAGCGCAAUAGCCCAACUACGCUAACAAGACAGGUCAAGGUAUAGCCUAUGGAAUGGAAGCAAUGGGCUACAUUUUCUAUACUAGAACAUACGGCAAAGGGGACUGAAACGACCCCUAGAAGGAGGAUUUAGCAGUAAAAAGGGAGAAUCGAGCCCUUUUUAAGACGGCUCUGGGACACGU